rnacentral:tRNA from 1 species
CAAGUUAAAGCUUUAAGUGAAGCUUUUUAUUUACAUUAAAAUUAUUAUUGUUCAAUACAGUAUGGCUUGA